rnacentral:lncRNA from 1 species
GUCUCGGUGUGAGCAACAUAAGCAUUUUUGGGUGGUCGACCAUGUAAAGAAUAGCACAGGUCACGAGUGUGACCAAGUUUAUGACAAUAAGAACACUUGGGUCUAGAUCUUCCAAAACUAUCUCCUCCUCGUCUAUUCUCCAUUGUAUGAGAUGCCCGAUUGUCUACUGAUUGGGAUACGAGGCUAGAUGAGUCAAGUGUAUGUGAUGAGCUCACUGGGUGACUUGG